AUGAAGAGCGCCCCUACCAUGGACCCUGAGACGGCGGCUGCCCCGGGCACUCCGCCGGAGAGCACGGGGAGGCGGGGAGAGGGGAAGAAGAGGCUGCCGUGGCGGAUGACGCUGAGCCUGGCGUACCAGAGCCUCGGGGUGGUGUACGGCGACCUGAGCACGUCGCCGCUGUACGUGUACAAGGCGGCGUUCGCGGACGACAUCCAGCACUCGGAGACCAACGAGGAGAUCCUGGGCGUGCUCUCCUUCGUCUUCUGGACGCUCACCCUCGUGCCGCUCCUCAAGUACGUCUGCGUCGUCCUCCGCGCCGACGACAACGGCGAGGGCGGCACCUUCGCGCUCUACUCCCUCCUCUGCCGCCACGCCCGCGCCGCGCUCCUCCCGCCGGGCCGCGGCGCCGAGCCCGGGGACGAGGACCAGUUCUCCGACGCCGGCGGCGCCGCCGCCAAGAAGUACCUCGAGUAUGACAAUGCCGACGCGCUGGGCGGGCGCGGCGGGGGCGCCGCCGCCAGCGUCAGGCGGGUGCUGGAGCGCCACAAGGUGCUGCAGCGCGUCCUGCUCGUGCUCGCGCUCGUCGGCACCUGCAUGGUCAUCGGCGACGGCGUCCUCACGCCGGCCAUCUCCGUUUUCUCCGCGGUGUCCGGGCUGGAGUUGUCCAUGGAGAAGGGGCAUCACAAAUAUGUGGAGUUGCCUCUUGCUUGCUUCAUACUGGUGUGCCUGUUUGCGCUGCAACACUAUGGCACUCACCGGGUGGGAUUCAUUUUCGCCCCGAUUGUGAUCGCAUGGCUUCUAUGCAUAAGCAUGAUUGGUGUUUACAACAUUGUGAAAUGGGAGCCUCAUGUGUAUCAAGCGUUAUCUCCGUACUACAUGUACAAGUUCUUGAAGAAAACACAGAGAGGAGGCUGGAUGUCCCUGGGGGGAAUACUGCUUUGUGUUACAGGAUCUGAAGCAAUGUUCGCAGAUCUGGGGCAUUUCAAUCAGUUGUCGAUACAGAUUGCUUUUACUUGCAUGGUUUACCCAUCAUUGAUCCUUGCAUACAUGGGCCAAGCUGCUUAUCUGUCUAAGCAUCACAUCCUGGAAGGUGACUACAGGGUCGGAUUCUACGUGUCUGUGCCAGAGGUAAUUAGAUGGCCAGUUCUGGCAAUUGCCAUUCUUGCGGCAGUUGUCGGCAGCCAAGCUGUCAUCACCGGCACAUUUUCGAUGAUCAAGCAGUGCACUUCCCUCGGCUGCUUUCCCCGGGUGAAGAUCGUGCACACCUCCGCCCAAGUACAUGGGCAGAUAUACAUUCCAGAGAUCAACUGGAUCCUGAUGAUACUGUGCUUAGCGGUAACCAUUGGUUUCAGAGACACAAAACACUUGGGCAAUGCAUCAGGGUUGGCUGUAAUAACUGUCAUGCUGGUCACCACAUGUCUGAUGUCGCUGGUGAUAGUCUUGUGCUGGCACAAGAGCAUAUUCCUGGCAAUCGGGUUCAUCGUGUUCUUCGGCACCAUCGAGGCGCUGUACUUCUCGGCGGCGCUCAUCAAGUUCAGGGAAGGAGCCUGGGUCCCCAUCGUCCUCGCCUUCGUCUUCAUGAUGGUAAUGUGCAUCUGGCACUAUGGCACCAUCAAGAAGUACGAGUUCGAUCUUCAGAACAAGGUCUCCAUCAACUGGCUCCUUGGCCUCAGCCCAAACCUCGGAAUCGUCCGUGUCCGCGGCAUCGGCCUCAUACACACCGAGCUUGACAGUGGCAUCCCUGCGAUCUUCUCCCAUUUUGUCACCAAUCUGCCUGCAUUCCAUCAGGUGCUCAUCUUCAUGUGCAUCAAGAACGUCCCGAUCCCGCACGUCUCGCCGGACGAGCGGUUCCUGGUCGGAAGGAUCGGGCCGAAGGAGUACAGGAUCUACCGGUGCAUCGUCCGGUACGGGUACCACGACGUGCAGAUGGACGACCAGGAGUUCGAGAAGGACCUGGUGUGCAGCGUCGCCGAGUUCAUCCGCUCAGGAGGCGGCGCCACCAAGGCCAACGGCUUGACGCCGGGCGUGGUCGACAGGGACGAGGAGCGGAUGACGGUCGUGGCCUCCGGCAGGAUGCGCAUGAUGGAGGACGAGGGCCUCGGUGGCGAGGCGGCGUCGGGGAGCACCGUCGGGCCCUCGCGCGCCGCCAGGGGGGAGAGGGAGAUACAGUCGCCGUCGCCAACGCCAGCGCCGGCGCCGGCGAUGGGCGUCCGGAAGAGGGUGAGGUUCGUGCUGCCGGCGUCGACCCCGCGGCCGAACGCCGGCGUGGAGGAGGAGCUGCGGGAGCUGACGGACGCGCGGGAGGCCGGCAUGGCCUUCAUCCUGGGCCACUGCUACGUCAAGGCCAAGACCGGGUCCAGCUUCCUCCGGCGGCUGGUGAUCAACUUCGGCUACGACUUCCUGCGGAGGAACAGCCGCGGCCCCAACUACGCCGUCACCGUCCCGCACGCCUCCACCCUCGAGGUCGGCAUGAUAUACUAUGUCUGA
rnacentral:rRNA from 1 species